rnacentral:rRNA from 1 species
GCCUACGGGGGGCAGCAGUGAGGAAUAUUGGUCAAUGGCCGGGAGGCUGAACCAGCCAAGUCGCGUGAGGGAAGACGGCCCUACGGGUUGUAAACCUCUUUUGUCAGGGAGCAAGGUGCAGGUCGGGACCUGCUGUGAGAGUACCCGAAGAAAAAGCAUCGGCUAACUCCGUGCCAGCAGCCGCGGUAAUACGGAGGAUGCGAGCGUUAUCCGGAUUUAUUGGGUUUAAAGGGUGCGCAGGCGGAAGAUCAAGUCAGCGGUAAAAUUGAGAGGCUCAACCUCUUCGAGCCGUUGAAACUGGUUUU